UGAGAAUUAUUUAAGACAAUCUUUAAAUAUAAUAACAUACUAUGAACAAGCCUUAGUGCGCACUCAGUGCACACUAGUGCAAGCAACCGAAUUCGCUAUAAGCCGAAGCUGCGAAGUGUUCCGAACUCAACAUAACCUGCAAAAAUUAAUAGCUUAUAGUGAACAAGUAUUAUUGUUGUACAAAUUGUAGUAGUAUUAUUGUUAAUACAAAUAACAUAAAAAUGAAUAAAAAUAUAAUAACAGUGCUCAACGUGGUUUUUGAGAGUUCGAGUUUAAGUGAUAGUAGUGAUGACGAAGAUAUGAAAAUUAUUUUUUGCGAGAAAAAUAAAUCUCAAAGGAAACCAAGAGUUAAAAAUUUUAUUGAAAAUGUGAUCUACGCCUAUAACACCGAAGAAUUUAAACGACAUUUUCGUAUAUGUCGCAGUACUUUUUAUUUUUUAUUGAAUAUCUUGAGACCAUAUUUGGAAACAGAGAAAAGUGGUCCUGUUAUUUCACCUGAAAAGUUGUAUAUUGCUUUGUGUUAGGAACACCUGAUUCAUAUAGAACUAUUUCAUCCAUUGGCCAACAUCAGAAGAAGCAGAAGUUACUGCCAGGUAUAUACAGAACAAAUAUAACUUCCCAUAUGUAAUUAGAGCUGUGGAUGGGACAUUACAAUCGCAGCUCCAAAAGAAAAUGCACUUGCGUACAUAAAUCGAAAAGGACAUCACUCUAUACAGCUGCAGAGGUAGUUUACAAUCAAAAAAGGGAAUUUAUUCACUGCUACACUGGAAUGCCAGGAUUAGUGCACGCGAUAUGAGAGUGUUUAAAUAUUCUGGUCUACAACACAAAUGUAAUGAGAAUCAUAUUGAUAAUAAUAAAUAUCUCAUUGCUGAUUCAGCUUACACUGUACAAAAAUUUGUGAUGGUGCCAUAUCGAGAUAAUGAACAUUUAACAGCUAAAGAAAUUAAUUACAACUAUGCUCUAUCUAAAAGCAGAAUGAUUGUGAAACAAUCUAUAGAUCUUUUGAAAGGACGAUGGAAAUAUUUAUUGGACAAACUGCCAAUGCGUAGGACAGACUUUAUCCCUUAUUAUAUUAUAGCUUAUUGUGUUCUUCACAAUAUCUGUGUUAUGAAAAGAGAUAAGAUGAAAUACUCAGUUAACCUUCCGGACAAUGUGGAAAAUGGUGGACCUUUGGAAGUUACUCCAGAACAACAACGAGAAGAAGUCAUAAAAAGAGAGCAAAUAAAAAAUUAUCUUACUAUUGUAAGAAAUAACUAAAUGAGAACAAAUUUUGACAUUUACACAUAUGAAGUAUUUUUAUUUUAUACUUUGUUAUGUAUUAUAUUAUAUACUUGUUUUCUUAUGUAUAUAUAUAUAGAUAUUAUGUAUUAUAUUUUAUACCGAAUUUACCAAAAAAAAUCCAAACAUCUUGUAAACGUGAGGGCAAGGUGACCUUAACUUAACAAGUAAUUAUAACAACGGAAUAUGAACAAAGUCGAAAAUAUAUUUGAUUAAACGCAGUUUAA